UUGCGGCCACUGAUCCGAUGCACAGCCUUGAUUGUAUUUUAUUUUUUCCUUGCCUGUUAGCAGCUGAUUGAGGAAUAAUCAUCUGGGUUGACUGCAGAGCUAUGCAAACUCGCUGUUAAAAUGCCAUAAAUAACCCAAUUGGCCACUUGGCAUGAGGGUUAUUUCUGUUCCAUACAAAAGGGCUUAUGUAACUGCCAUGCGAGUUGCUGCUGGGAGUUGUUAGCAGUUGAGAAAAGAAGGGAAACUCAGAGUCCUUCUCUGGCAGGAGCCCUUCUGGGCAGUCAGCUCCCUGCCGUCUGGACGUGGCUCAGAGAUCACACCUCCCCCACCUUCGACGUCUUCGCUCCCUUCUUCGGGCCACAGCCUCUCCGCUCAGCUGCUUGUCAUCGACCGCUGGGUCGCAAACCAGCCCCAAACAGAGAGACUGAAGACGGUGACGCUGACUGUUGCCUGCAGUGCUGUGGGAUUGGGCACGGCCCGCUGUCCUUCUGUCCCCCGUGGCGCCACCGGGGAGGCCCACGCGUCAGACUUCAGGAGGAACUCGGGCGCAGAGGCCUCACGCCCGCACCUCCGUGCCGUGUGCACCUAAGCCGUCGCGGCUCAGAGUACAGCCAGCAGGUGUCAAGCUGCUCCGGCUCCCUGCGCCCAGGGCAGGGUCCUCUCUCAGCCCUCCCCGGACAUUUGUAUCCCCCGGCCCUGAGGCUUCUGGCCUCUCCCCGUCUGGCUGGACGCAUAUAUUUACGUCUCUACCAGGGAUGUCAUUUUCUGGAUUCUGCUUGUAUAUGCUGCUUCAUCUUUCCAGUGUUAAGCGCUAUUUAUUUAAAGAUUGCCUUUGUCACUCAUUCUGCCUUAUUUGACUUUCGGCCUGAAGUUAUCCCCCAGGAUUCAAAGGCCUGCCACAUCCCUUCCUUUCGAAGUCAAGCUCAUGGGGUCCGCACUGCAUUUUUCAUCGGUUUUACAAGGCUCGCGGAACAUCUUAAUUGAGAGGAGCUCUGAGCCACCUGUCACCUCACACUGGCCCAAAUGCUUGCAGACCCCAGGACGCCCCCUCCUCCCAGUCACACUCCCAGGAUCCAGGAGCCUGAAGGGCAGUCCAGCCGAGGGCAGGUGUUUCCAGAAGAGGCACCCUCCCUGGCCCCUGCCAAGACGCCCCCAGGCUGCAUCCCUGUUCCCUAGGGCUCCGCCCCAGGUGAGGCCGUGUCCGAGCUGGGAGCAGGG
rnacentral:lncRNA from 1 species